ACUGAGAGCUCCGCGAAGAGGCUGGGUGUGAUAAAACAUACAGAGGCCCUAAGCUCGGGUGCAGCCCGACGGGAGUUGUAGUUCUUUCACCUCACUGGCUUCCUCCCGGGUUAGGCUGCAGGAAAUUUCCCGGGAGUUCAUCCCAGCACGGAGACCUGCCGCGACGCCACGAGCCGAGAACGCUUCUGUGGCGAAGGGAGCGCCGAGAGGUCGCAGCUCUUAUAAAAGGAGGCGGUGGACGCUAGGCCAUACCGUUGGCGAUGCACACUGGAGACCUGCUCGGAUUCGGACCCAUUUAACAUCAAACGGAGCGUUUUAGAGGAUCCGAUUUUACUGAGCACUUUCUAGGAAGCGUCCUUCCACUGAGCUACGUGCUUUCUAUGCCUUAUUUCAACAAUUAACCAUAUUUUUAAAAAAUUAACCAUAUUCAUUAUAAUCCGGUUAAGUCAGAAUUACUUAGCCUAUUUUACAGAUGAGGACACUGCAGUACCAAAAAGUAGCCUCGCUAAGAAUUUCGUCAUGAAGGAGGAGGGAACCUGUAUACAAAUUAGGAAGGAUCCUAAAGAAAGGGCACCUUUCCCCAGCUCCUUGGAAGUUGGAACCCACUCCGGUUCGCCUGUGCUGGAUGCUGCGCAGUCAACAUGCAUUUAUUAAGCACUGAAUGAGGGCCAGGGAUCGUGCUGGGUGCUGAGGAUUGAGUGGCGAACACUUGCCUCAGACAAGUAAAAGGGUAAUUAGAAUAACUGUUAAAUGCUUAGAUGGGGUUCGUUCUAUAGAAGCACCCAUGGUUGGGGGGUACAGAUCAGAGAGAAAAGGGUGGUCUGCAGAUCGUUUGGGAUGAUUACACUGGAGAGUGAUCGAGUGAGUGUAGGGUAGGGGUUACUGACUUUUUGCAUGAAGUGCUCUGAAAGUUGCAGAUUCUAGGAGAAACUAUUGUCAGACCUAGACAAAUUGGAGCCCAGAGACCAUAAAAGAGGGGAACUUAUGGACGUAUGUCUGAGAUAAGAACUGUACAAGGCCGGACGCCUGUAAUCCCAGCACUUUGGGAGGCCGAGGCGGGCGAAUCGCGAGGUCAGGAGAGUUCGAGACCAACCUGGCCAACAUGGUGAAACCCUAUCUCUACUAACAAUAAAAAUUAAAAAAUAGCGGGGCGUGGUGGCAGGCUCCUGUGAUCCUAGCUACUGAGGAGGCUGAGGCAGGAGAAUCGCUUGAACCCAGGAGGCAGAGGUUGCAGUGAGCUGAGAUGGCGCCACUGUACUCCAGCAUGGGCGACAGUGACAGAGCAAGACUCCAUCUCAAAAAAAAAAAAAAAAAAAAAAAAAGUUGUCUCAAGGACUUAAAAACAUAAACCAAAAAACACACAACAAUUUCUUCACGUCUUUCAUGCAUUUCAUGUUUUGCACAACUAGCUCAUUUUGCAAAUACGCACACAUUUCUAUGGCACCAUUUAUUGCUAAACUGCAGCAAUUCCGAUAAGCUACUGUCAGAAGGACGUUUGACCCAGCAGCAACACCUCCACCAAUGAACGAACUCCAGUUCUUUAUUUGAGCCUCGGAACCAAUGGACUUUGUUUCCAAGACGUUCCUGUGAACUUCUUUCCUGUACCAGUAAAAUCUUGCCCCUACUCUCUCUUCCUUUCUGCAGACCAGUGGCUAGCAUAGCUAUACAUCUUGGAUUAUAAUUCUUUUUGCUUACUCCAAAAGAAACUUAGUAUCUUUGGAGAAACCCUUCUCUGUUGUCUUUUAGCUUCACAGUGCCAAACAAUAAAUAUUUUGGGUUUUGUGGGCCAUGCUGCUUGGUCACAGCUAUUCAAACUUGCAGCUUAAAAUCAGCCAUAGACAGUAUGAAUGGGUGAGGCUGUAUUCCAAUAAAACCUUAUCCUAAACACCAAA